CUUGCUCUUUUCCAAAGUCAAGAUUGUGAGCCAGGGACAAGGCUCUGGGAGGCUUCGUCCACUCACAUUAAAGCUAGAUUUGCUGGCAUCAUCCAUCAGGGGAUGGGAAUAACUAUUUUGUGCUUGUCAGACAGUAUGACUAAUUUUUGCACUCAUGAGCAAGUUCACAGACUGGGCCUUAGGCCUCUACCUGCAGGCUGGAUGUCCAGUCCCCAUGCCUCCUCUUGUUGGCCUGUGCAGCGCCUGCAGAGGAGACAGAACUCCAAAGGAAUGGCUUUCUGUCUAAGUCUCUUGCCCCAUGAUGGAGUUGGAAAGAGAGGGCAUCUCCUGGCUCAGAGUUGGUGUGAUGGUGCCUUCUAUGCUGUGCCCAGUGCAGCUGGCACUCAGUCUACAACGUCCUCAGGAUGGUGUGGCUGUUCUAACCAAGAUGCCAGGCUCAGGGGUCUGUGGGGCUUCAGGAGAAAAUGCAUAAGCCAAGUUGCCAGGCUGGGUGGUAGGAACUUGUAGUUUAUGGCUUGUUCUGAGCGGGGCACUGCACCCGGAAGCAGCCCUGCCACUGCAGAUGUGGA